GUGACAAAAUGUUCUGUGGUACAAAUACUAAAAUUAGAAUGAUACAGAGAUGACUAGCACGGUCCCUGGUGUAAAGAUGACACACAAAUAUGUGAAGUGCUGUGUAUUUUG